rnacentral:lncRNA from 1 species
AACUGUAGUCCCCACAAGGGCCACGGGGGCGGGGGUGGGGUGGGGUGGGGAGACGCAGUGCAGCAGGCCCCCCUGAGUCACAGUGCAGACUUGUUCAAGGUUGUGGCCACCAAGCAACUGGCUGUCUCGAAGUGUGGAUGGAUGAAAAGUAUUCGGGUGUGUCUGGUAGGGAACAUAUCUUCUGGCACCUGAGGAUACCGACGUUCCUUCGGGCACUUGUUUCAGUGUCUCAAUGGCACUGGGCUUCACCUUAAUACCACUCUACCACGCACACGGUCAUCUGGUGUUCUCUCGGUGUUCUAACUCACAAGGAAAGCAUUUUAGAGUUAAGGAUUACUUCUGGAAAAGAAUCCAAGAACUUCCUAAUAAGUGCUGAACACAGAGUCCAGUGUGUCCUCAAUCACAUGGGAAAUUUGGUGCCACCGGCUGAAGCCUCAGUCUACAGAAGGUAAAUACUGGGCUUGUGAAUCUUGGCUGCCCGCCGACUCUGACUCACUGAGCAAACAAAUUCACCUUCCACAACAAGUGUGAUUCGGGAGGCCCAUUGCUACCUCUACCCCCGUAGAAAAUACACUUGGUGGAUUGUUUGAGGUGCAGAACAAAACAGAAAACGUGUGGGGUUUGUGCCCACAUUCCCCCCACCCCCACCCCAUUUUUUCCUUGGCUUUUCCCUCCCCUGG